CACUUGAAGUCAAUUUCAUGGACGUCCUGUAUGCAAAAUAUCCGAUUUCGGAGAAGCUAAAAUGCAUGCAUUUGCUGGUCAAUCAUUCCAAAUGGCACCU